rnacentral:rRNA from 1 species
AUACGGAGGAUGCGAGCGCUAUCCGGAUUUAUUGGGUUUAAAGGGAGCGUAGGUGGGAUAUUAAGUCAGCUGUGAAAGUUUGGGGCUCAACCUUAAAAUUGCAGUUGAUACUGGUUUCCUUGAGUACGGUACAGGUGGGCGGAAUUCGUGGUGUAGCGGUGAAAUGCUUAGAUAUCACGAAGAACUCCGAUCGCGAAGGCAGCUCACCGGGCCGGAACUGACACUGAUGCUCGAAAGUGCGGGUAUCAAACAGGAUUAGAUACCCUGGUAGUCCGCACAGUAAACGAUGAAUACUCGCUGUUUGCGAUACACGGUAAGCGGCCAAGCGAAAGCGUUAAGUAUUCCACCUGGGGAGUACGCCGGCAACGGUGAAACUCAAAUGAAUUGACGGGG